AUUGAACGCUGGCGGCAUGCUUUACACAUGCAAGUCGAACGGUAACAGGCCGCAAGGUGCUGACGAGUGGCGAACGGGUGAGUAAUGCAUCGGAACGUGCCCAGUCGUGGGGGAUAACGCAGCGAAAGCUGCGCUAAUACCGCAUACGAUCUAUGGAUGAAAGCGGGGGACCGAAAGGCCUCGCGCGAUUGGAGCGGCCGAUGUCAGAUUAGGUAGUUGGUGGGGUAAAGGCUCACCAAGCCAACGAUCUGUAGCUGGUCUGAGAGGACGACCAGCCACACUGGGACUGAGACACGGCCCAGACUCCUACGGGAGGCAGCAGUGGGGAAGUUUGGACAAUGGGCGCAAGCCUGAUCCAGCAAUGCCGCGUGCAGGAAGAAGGCCUUCGGGUUGUAAACUGCUUUUGUACGGAACGAAAAGGCUCUGGUUAAUACCUGGGGCUCAUGACGGUACCGUAAGAAUAAGCACCGGCUAACUACGUGCCAGCAGCCGCAGUAACAC
rnacentral:rRNA from 1 species